GCCAUGUGAUGAGUCCAAGGCGAAUGUGACCCCUGCAUCCUCUGGGUAGGCCCUUUGCUCAUUGCCUUUGGUCUGUAAUCUUGGUGGCUGUGGAGGAGAGUCUCGCUGCCGCUGUAAGGCCAGACCUACAGCAGCAUUUACUGCUGGUCUUGCUCAGUUAAUCUGCCCUCCAGAGUGUGAUGGCGGAGCAUGAGUGGACCUACAGGAUGGACCGUCCGCUGAAGAAGGCUGGGCAGAGGGCAUGACUCGCUGAGAGAUGGUGCAGAGGCAUGAGCACAUAUCUUUGGUAAUCUGAUGGCU